rnacentral:rRNA from 1 species
UGUGAGCUCGAUGAGUAGGGCGGGACACGUGGUAUCCUGUCUGAAUAUGGGGGGACCAUCCUCCAAGGCUAAAUACUCCUGACUGACCGAUAGUGAACCAGUACCGUGAGGGAAAGGCGAAAAGAACCCCGGCGAGGGGAGUGAAAAAGAACCUGAAACCGUGUACGUACAAGCAGUGGGAGCCCCACCACUAAGCCAGUGGUGAACUCCACAUACGCAUCCUUUGCUGAGGAUACGGUUAACGGAGCGAAAGCGACGUUCAACCUCAAAAGAAGCAGAGGGGGCUUAGUGGUGGGGUGACUGCGUACCUUUUGUAUAAUGGGUCAGCGACUUAUAUUCUGUAGCAAGGUUAACCGAAUAGGGGAGCCGGAGGGAAACCGAGUCUUAACCGGGCGUUAAGUUGCAGGGUAUAGACCCGAAACCCGGUGAUCUAGCCAUGGGCAGGUUGAAGGUUGGGUAACACUAACUGGAGGACCGAACCGACUAAUGUUGAAAAAUUAGCGGAUGACCUGUGGCUGGGGGUGAAAGGCCAAUCAAACCGGGAGAUAGCUGGUUCUCCCCGAAAGCUAUUUAGGUAGCGCCUCGUGAAUUCAUCUCCGGGGGUAGAGCACUGUUUCGGCUAGGGGGCCAUCCCGGCUUACCAACCCGAUGCAAACUGCGAAUACCGGAGAAUGUUAUCACGGGAGACACACGGCGGGUGCUAACGUCCGUCGUGAAGAGGGAAACAACCCAGACCGCCAGCUAAGGUCCCAAAGUCAUGGUUAAGUGGGAAACGAUGUGGGAAGGCCCAGACAGCCAGGAUGUUGGCUUAGAAGCAGCCAUCAUUUAAAGAAAGCGUAAUAGCUCACUGGUCGAGUCGGCCUGCGCGGAAGAUGUAACGGGGCUAAACCAUG